AUAUAUAAGGUUUUCAAUUUUUUUAUUAUAUAUAGUUUGUAUAAAAUUUUUUAAUAAAUAUAAAUUAAAAAGUAUUUAAAUUUUAGAAAUUUAUUUAAAACUUUAGCUAAUAAGUACUGUAAAGGAAUUUUGAAAUAUUUUAAAUUCAAAUAUUAAAAAAGACUCCUAAUAGGAGUACCUUUUGUAUUAGGUUUAAUCUAAUUAUAAAAUUAAUUUUUAUUUUUCGAAUAUACAAGAGUUAGGUAUUUAAAGGUUAUUUGUAUCAAAAAAUUUUUUUAAAUUUACCUGGGUGUGAAAAGUAACCCGAUUGUAUGGAUAUCUAGUUAUUCUUUAGAUAAAUUUAGUUUAGCAAUAGGAGGAUACAAAAAGAUUUUUUGUUUUCUUAUAUAAUUGUUAGAAUAUAGGGGAUGAGCUCUAUAUUUUGAAAUUACAAUAUUAAUAUUAUAUAUUUUAUUAAGCUUAGUACUAGCUAUAUUAAUAUUUUAUAAUUAAUUUAAAAUUGUUAUAGAUUUAUAAUUGUAUUUAUUUUUAGGGAAUUAUCCUAUUUAAUUUGGUUUUAGGAGAAAAAAUGAUUAUAUUAGUAGAAAAUUUUUAUUUCACUUUCAAAAUUAUUUGUAUAAUUUUAUAAUUAAGUAAAUAAUUACUUUUAAAGAACUCGGCAAAUAUAAUUUCCGAAUGUUUAACAAAAACAUUUCUUCUUUUUUAAGAAGUAAAGCCUGCUCACUGAAUUUUAAAGAGCCGCAGUAUACUGACUGUGCUAAGGUAGCAUAAUAAUUAGUCUUUUAAUUGGGGACUGGAAUGAAAGGUUAAACGAGAAAUUGACUUUUUUAAUAGUAAAAAUCUAACUUUUGGUUUAAGUGAAAACCCUUAAAUAUAAUAAAAAGACGAGAAGACCCUAUAGAGUUUUAUAAUUUAAUAUAUUUAUAUUAAUUGAUGUUUAGAUUUAAAUUUAUGAUUUUAUUUUGUUGGGGCGACAUAAAGAUAUAAGAAACUCUUUUUUUAUAUUACUUUAAUUAAAGAAUAGCUUGAUCCUUAAAAAAGAUUAUAAGAGAAAGUUACCUUAGGGAUAACAGCGUAAUUUUUCUUGAGAGUUCCAAUCGACAGAAAGGUUUGCGACCUCGAUGUUGGACUAAAAUUAUGGUGAGGUGCAGAAGCUUCAUUUUUAGGUCUGUUCGACCUAUAAUUUUUUACACGAUCUGAGUUCAGACCGGCGUAAGCCAGGUUAGUUUCUAUCUUUUAUUUUUCUGGUAUUAACUUAGUACGAAAGGAUUAGUUAGUAGUAAUUUUUAUACGCAUAUCCUUGAGGUUUAUUAAGUAUACUUAAAAUAAAUUUAGCAGACAAAUGUAGCAGAGUUAGAAUCUGAG
rnacentral:rRNA from 1 species